UAUUGCCAGUUGCUACCAGGUAAUGCUGGGCACUCUGUGAGACUGCCCGUUAACGGGAGGAAGUGGGACGACGUCAAGUCAUCAUGGCCCUUACGCCUAGGGCUACACACGUACUACAAUGGCGCAUACAAAGGGCAGCGAUACCGCGAGGUGGAGCCAAUCCCAAAAAGUGCGUCCCAGUCCGGAUUGCAGUCUGCAGCUCGACCGCAUGAAGUUGGAAUCGCUAGUAAUUCGAGAUCAGCAUGCUCGGGUGAAUGCGUUCCCGGGCCUU
rnacentral:rRNA from 1 species